UACGGAGCUGUUUCCUCCAAAUUCCUCCCUCUCUGUGAUCUCCCUGGUCCUUUCCUGAUCGCUGGGCUCCCUUUUUCGGGCCUCUGGCCAAAAACUUGGUGUUGUAGUUACCCUGCUCUGCCGUGCACUUCCUACAACUGCACCCACAGUCGCGGCCAAGCAGCGAAGAUUUAAGAAAGAGGAAAAGAAGUUCUCUUAUACAAUUAAGGGGGCGUUGAAUGUGCCAGGAUGUAAAUCAGCAUCUUGCGAAGUUUUGUUUGCAACAUGUAUAAUGAAAACUGGAGACUAAGAACAGAAACUUUACAACGAAGUAGAUUCUACAAAGCAGCCUAAGUGUAAAGCUUCAGCCUGGA
rnacentral:lncRNA from 1 species